rnacentral:rRNA from 1 species
UCGAGAAUCAUUGUCAAUGCACGAAAGUGUGAACAUGCGACGCCGCGUGGAGGAAGACGGCCUUUGGGUUGUAAACUCCUGUCAGCAGGGAAGAAAGAUAGCUUCAGUAAUACUUUUGCUAUUUGACGGUACCUGCAGAGGAAGUCACGGCUAACUCUGUGCCAGCAGCCGCGGUAAUACAGAGGUGGCGAACGUUGUUCGGAUUUACUGGGCGUAAAGGGUCCGCAGGCGGUCUUGUGUGUCAGAUGUGAAAGCCCACGGCUCAACCGUGGAAUUGCAUUUGAAACUGCAAGACUAGAGUACUGGAGGGGAGAAGGGAACACUUGGUGUAGCGGUGAAAUGCGUAGAUAUCAAGUGGAACACCGGCGGCGAAGGCGCUUCUCUGGACAGAUACUGACGCUCAUGGACGAAAGUUAGGGUAGCGAAAGGGAUUAGAUACCCCUGUAGUCCUAACCGUAAACGGUGUGCACUAGACGUGGGAGGCUUUACCCCCUUCCGUGUCUGAGCUAACGCAUUAAGUGCACCGCCUGGGGAGUACGGUCGCAAGAUUAAAACUCAAAGGAAUUGACGGGGACCCGUACAAGCGGUGGAGCAUGCGGCUUAAUUCGAUGCAACGCGAAGAACCUUACCUGGGCUUGACAUAUAGCUGCAUACGAUCCGAAAGGAACGUAGCCCUUCGAGGGUGCUAUACAGGUGCUGCAUGGCU